AAACAUGGCCGCAAGCAUAGCAGCCUCUUGGUAGGAUGUAUCAGCUCAUCCUGGGCACCGGGCUACUGGCACUGGUGUCUGACACACGGGAGCCAACUGCAGCUUCAGAAAAGCAAGUUGUUCUCCUGUUUUAUGGAGAGCCGAGAGGCAUUCAGCAGUGAUGAGGAGGCAGAAAGGCUGCCAGGGGGCAGCAAGGUACCCUGGAGGAGGGCAGGGAUCCACAUGGUGAAAACAUCUUGGAGCCCCACCUGCCUGCAGGGACAAAGAUUAUUUCAGACAUCCAGCCUUCUUUGCAAAAGAGUCAUUGCUCACUUCUUCUGGCUUCAUUGCAUAUGGCACCUAUUGCUUAAAGACAGCACAAGUCUUUUACUUAUGACAAGAAUUAAUGCUGUAAAUAAUCAAGACUUCACUACUCUUGGCACAGCAUGA
rnacentral:lncRNA from 1 species